GAUAACAAAUAGCCCCAGUCUGGAAAGCAGCAGGAUAGAUUUGAAUAGAGAUGUUGUUAAAAUAUCAGUGCUGGAUCAUGGAUCUGUAGGAUUAAGAUAGUGCAGAGCCUGGUCCUCAGGAUGCAUGGCUGACUAUGGCUUCUUCUGUCCCUUUAUUUUCUGACUCUCCUUGUCCAUGGCAGCUGCUCGUGCCUGCAGCCGACUCCAGUACUCAGGCUCCUCAAGUCCUAGCAGGCUCUGCUGCCUAGCAGGGGAAGAAGAGGGGGUUAGAACAGUCCCUGCCAUUCUCCCAGUGCUCACACAACCCUAGCCAGGCUCCCCAAGGGUCCCUGGGUCCCCAUAGCAGUAGCCUCUGUAUUUCUCCUUGCCUGAGAGUCUGUAGACAUGGGUCUCAUUGCAGUCAUAUCUGGUCUGCUCUGGCCUGAGCUCUCAGUACCCAGAAGGGAGGUGAUGUCUCCCCAGUGUUUCAGGCAUGAGGCAGACAAGAGUCUGCUCUCCAUCUUUUUAAGAAGUGGGGACAGAACUGGUAGCACAGGAUGAAACUUCUACUUUUCUGCCCCUAACUAAUCAGACAACACCACAGGAUUCACCCUGGAGACAAUAAAUCAGAAAAGACUACCAGGUAAUAAGUCCUGUAAGAUCAUACCUAUACCCACCUGUUCCACUUCAAAUCAGAGAAUUAAAGCAUAGUGAUAAGAAAGAACAGAAUGUCACUGACAUGGAACUGGCUCCAGGUAAGAAUUCAAGGAAAAAGUCAUCCAAUAAGAGAUGUCACAUUGCCAUCUAGUGACAGCAUGAAUUCAGCACAUCAGCUAAGCUCUGGUUGCAACCUUGUCAUGAGAGUGCCAGGGACAUUCUCAAACCAAGAAACCUACAACAUAAAUCUACUUAAGCAACAAAUUAACCCAAGAAUGGAGGUGAGCAGCAAUGUACAAAGAGAUCCAAGCUCUGCCUGGCUAUGGGGUCAAAAGGAAGAGGACAACAGUUAAGCAAGGAUCAUAUUAUCCGACAACCUUGCACAACCUGUUACACAGAAGUAACUUAGAUCUAGCAAGUCCUCUACCUGGAAUGAGAGGCCUGCCCCAGGCAUCCUGACUUACAGUUGCAAGUUAUUCUGUGGAUGACAGAAGGGAGAGGAGGAAGGGGCACAUGUUCUUGGUGGCUGGCAGGGAUCCAGAUAGCUGAACAUCAACCUUGUACAGACAUAAGUCUGUGUCACAGUACACAGAACCCAGAAGCUCCAAGGUGAGACCUUGCUUGGACCUCAGCAACGCCACAGCUUACAUCGAUGCACUUACCUAUCAGGCAGGAGACUCUU